rnacentral:rRNA from 1 species
UACUUGUACCAACUGGAUGAGCAGCGAACGGGUGAGUAACGCGUGGGGAAUCUGCCUUUGAGCGGGGGACAACAUUUGGAAACGAAUGCUAAUACCACAUAAAAACUUUAAACACAAGUUUUAAGUUUGAAAGAUGCAAUUGCAUCACUCAAAGAUGAUCCCGCGUUGUAUUAGCUAGUUGGUGAGGUAAAGGCUCACCAAGGCGAUGAUACAUAGCCGACCUGAGAGGGUGAUCGGCCACAUUGGGACUGAGACACGGCCCAAACUCCUACGGGAGGCAGCAGUAGGGAAUCUUCGGCAAUGGACGAAAGUCUGACCGAGCAACGCCGCGUGAGUGAAGAAGGUUUUCGGAUCGUAAAACUCUGUUGGUAGAGAAGAACGUUGGUGAGAGUGGAAAGCUCAUCAAGUGACGGUAACUACCCAGAAAGGGACGGCUAACUACGUGCCAGCAGCCGCGGUAAUACGUAGGUCCCGAGCGUUGUCCGGAUUUAUUGGGCGUAAAGCGAGCGCAGGUGGUUUAUUAAGUCUGGUGUAAAAGGCAGUGGCUCAACCAUUGUAUGCAUUGGAAACUGGUAGACUUGAGUGCAGGAGAGGAGAGUGGAAUUCCAUGUGUAGCGGUGAAAUGCGUAGAUAUAUGGAGGAACACCGGUGGCGAAAGCGGCUCUCUGGCCUGUAACUGACACUGANGCUCGAAAGCGUGGGGAGCAAACANGAUUAGAUACCCUGGUAGUCCACGCCGUAAACGAUGANUGCUAGAUGUAGGGAGCUAUAAGUUCUCUGUAUCNCANCUAACGCAAUAANCACUCCGCCUGGGGAGUAC